CCUACGGGCGGCAGCAGUGAGGAAUAUUGGUCAAUGGGCGGAAGCCUGAACCAGCCAAGUAGCGUGCAGGAUGACGGCCCUACGGGUUGUAAACUGCUGUUAUACGGGAAUAACGCGCCUUACGUGUAGGGCUUUGCAUGUACCGUAUGAAUAAGGACCGGCUAAUUCCGUGCCAGCAGCCGAGGUAAUACGGCGGGUACGGGCGUUAUCCGGAUUUAUUGGGUUUAAAGGGAGCGUAGGCCGCAUGUCAAGCGUGCUGUGAAAUGUGCGGGCUCAACCCGGGCCUUGCAGCGCGAACUGGCUUGCUUGAGUCCGCGGAAAGCAGGCGGAAUUCGUCGUGUAGCGGUGAAAUGCUUAGAUAUGACGAAGAACCCCGAUUGCGAAGGCAGCUUGCUGCAGCGGAACUGACGCUGAUGCUCGAAAGCGCGGGUAUCGAACAGGAUUAGAUACCCUAGUAGUC
rnacentral:rRNA from 1 species